UUUUUUUUGGUAAGAUCCAACUAUAUAAUUGUUCAUUACGAGUCUAGAGCAUCUUAUAUAUAAUUAUACAAAACCCAUUAGUGUUAAUAGAAAAAAUUUAGACAAACAAAUAUACAGGUCUUGGAACACAGUAAAACCAACCAAUAUAAUUAUUUUUCAAUUUUCUGGUAAAUAUUGGUGACUAUAAUUAAUUUCAAUGGAAUCAGC
rnacentral:lncRNA from 1 species